ensembl:snRNA U6 U6 spliceosomal RNA
GUGCUCGCUUUGGCAGCACAUAUACUAAAAUUGGAAAGAUACAGAGAAGAUUAGCAUGGCCCCUGCACAAGGAUUACAUGCAAAUUCGUGAAGUGUUCCAUAUUUUU